UGUGCGUGCGUGUGUGCGCGCGCGCGUGCUCGCGCGUGUGCAUGUAUGUAUGUAUGUAUGUAUGCGCGUGCGUCUGUGUAUUUUGAAUUUAAAAUGUUUUAACUCGGAAGGAUCUGGAUCACAGGUCAUUUCAUCUGAGAUCAAUCCGCACGCAACAGCUGGAAUCACUUACUGAUUCACACAAGGGAGGACACAAGUCAGCCGUUUCCUGAAGUUCACGUCAGAGCGGAGAUGAUGUGAGGGGCGGACCAGAAGGAUACAUAGCGAGACAGUCUCCGCUUGGACUGGCUGAGGAAAGUCUCCUAAAUGGCCCUGGAGAUGUUCUGACUGACUUUGGAGGCUUUUUGGACUGUUUUAUGCCCUCUAUUUAAAGAAGACUUAAUUCUGUAUGUUCAGUCUGUAUGAUAAGUGAAUAAAAAGCUUUUGUUUUUAUGUGA